UGAAAAUAUAUAAAGUAUCGGUUAAUUAUUUUAUUGUUAUAUAUCUAUAAAUGUGAAUAUACUCAUUACUGAAAAAUCAUCCAAUUUAUAUAACUUAAUUUGAGUUGUCAAUCUUACGAUUUUUUCUACCAAUCAGCAAUGAUCUACCCAAUGCGCCAUGUUUCAGGUUCAAAAAUUUAUUCUGAGCAUUGUUCUGUAAAGUUUAAACGAAGCUAACUCAAUUAGAACAAAAAUGAAAGAAAACGUCAAUAAACCUGUUAUUCACAACAUAAAAUAAGUGAUGUUUUUCAUCAUAAGUAACAGCAUUUAUUCCGUUUUUAUAAAAAUUACCAAAAGAGAAUUCAUAAUUGGCUUCAAACCCAUUGGUUGGCGAAAUAUGAAAUAUCAUAGAAACUAUUGCAUCGCCAGCUUCUAAGAUAUGAGGAUUCUGAGAAAUAGCUUUUGGAUUAAUAUUAAAAACAUUGUUUCCCA